GAGUUUGAUCUUGGCUCAGAUUGAACGCUGGCGGCAUGCCUAACACAUGCAAGUCGAACGGCAGCACAGCAGAGCUUGCUCUGUGGGUGGCGAGUGGCGGACGGGUGAGUAAUGCAUCGGGACCUACCUCAACGUGGGGGAUAACGUAGGGAAACUUACGCUAAUACCGCAUACGUCCUACGGGAGAAAGCAGGGGACCUUCGGGCCUUGCGCGGUGAGACGGACCGAUGUUCGAUUAGCUAGUUGGUAAGGUAAUGGCUUACCAAGGCGACGAUCGAUAGCUGGUCUGAGAGGAUGAUCAGCCACACUGGAACUGAGACACGGUCCAGACUCCUACGGGAGGCAGCAGUGGGGAAUAUUGGACAAUGGCGCAAGCCUGAUCCAGCAAUGCCGCGUGUGUGAAGAAGGCCUUAGGGUGUAAAGCACUUUAUCGGGAACGAAUACCAUGGGCUAAUACCCGAUGGGGCUGACGGUACCCGAGGAAUAAGCACCGGCUAACUUCGUAGCCAGCAC
rnacentral:rRNA from 1 species